GAAAGUGGCGCACGGGUGCGUAACGCGUAUGCAACCUACCUUAAUCAGGGGGAUAGCCCGAAGAAAUUCGGAUUAACACCGCAUAAAAUCACAGUACAGCAUUGUACAAUGAUCAAAUAUUUAUAGGAUUAAGAUGGGCAUGCGUGUCAUUAGUUAGUUGGCGAGGUAACGGCUCACCAAGACCACGAUGACUAGGGGAUCUGAGAGGAUGACCCCCCACACUGGUACUGAGACACGGACCAGACUCCUACGGGAGGCAGCAGUAAGGAAUAUUGGUCAAUGGAGGCAACUCUGAACCAGCCAUGCCGCGUGCAGGAAGACAGCCCUCUGGGUCGUAAACUGCUUUUAUUCGGGAAUAAACCUACUUACGUGUAAGUAGCUGAAUGUACCGAAGGAAUAAGGAUCGGCUAACUCCGUGCCAGCAGCCGCGGUAAUACGGAGGAUCCAAGCGUUAUCCGGAUUUAUUGGGUUUAAAGGGUGCGUAGGCGGCUUAUUAAGUCAGGGGUGAAAGACGGUGGCUCAACCAUCGCAGUGCCCUUGAUACUGAUGAGCUUGAAUACACUAGAGGUAGGCGGAAUGUGACAAGUAGCGGUGAAAUGCAUAGAUAUGUCACAGAACACCGAUUGCGAAGGCAGCUUACUAUGGUGUUAUUGACGCUGAGGCACGAAAGCGUGGGGAUCAAACAGGAUUAGAUACCCUGGUAGUCCACGCCCUAAACGAUGAAUACUCGCUGUUAGCGAUACACAGUUAGCGGCUAAGCGAAAGCGUUAAGUAUUCCACCUGGGGAGUACGCCCGCAAGGGUGAAACUCAAAGGAAUUGACGGGGGCCCGCACAAGCGGAGGAGCAUGUGGUUUAAUUCGAUGAUACGCGAGGAACCUUACCCGGGCUUGAAAGUUAGUGAAUGAUCUAGAGAUAGAUCAGUGAGCAAUCACACGAAACUAGGUGCUGCAUGGCUGUCGUCAGCUCGUGCCGUGAGGUGUUGGGUUAAGUCCCGCAACGAGCGCAACCCCUAUGUUUAGUUGCCAGCACGUUAAGGUGGGGACUCUAAACAGACUGCCUGUGCAAACAGAGAGGAAGGAGGGGACGACGUCAAGUCAUCAUGGCCCUUACGUCCGGGGCUACACACGUGCUACAAUGGGUGGUACAGAGGGCAGCAAGCUGGCAACAGCAAGCAAAUCUCAAAAAGCCAUUCACAGUUCGGAUAGAGGUCUGCAACUCGACCUCUUGAAGUUGGAUUCGCUAGUAAUCGCGUAUCAGCAAUGACGCGGUGAAUACGUUCCCGGGCCUUGUACACACCGCCCGUCAAGCCAUGGAAGUUGGGGGUACCUAAAGUAUGUAACCGCAAGGAGCG
rnacentral:rRNA from 1 species